GCUUCUUCUCCAGCCGUUUGACGUACGCCGCCAGCUCCAACGCCUCCUCGUAGUAGCCGUUUCUGACGCAAGUGUCCAUGAGCUGAGGGAUCUCCAGGAUCUCCAGAAUCUCGGUGUGGCGGUUGAGAGUCAGGCUGUUCAUCCUGCGGCUGGCACCGAUCUCCUCCGCCUCCUUCAUGAAGGUCCUGGACAACAAGGGGACACCUCAGACUCAGGAACCCAAACCCGCUCAUUGGUUCCGGACUCGCAGCUUUGGUCUCACCGACCUGCACUUCUCUCCGAAGCGGGGCAGCUUGUCCAGCAGCCGGGACACGCUGCUCUCCACCCGCCCGAAGUCCCGGUAGAUGUGCUCGGUGCAGUCCGCGGUUCGGAUGAAGGUCUGGUAGUUGGAGAAGGCUAGCUCCCGGGUCUGCUGCAGGAUGUGGGCCCGCUCCUCCGCCAGCCGCUCCGGUUCCCGGCUCAGCUUGUCCACCCCGAAGGAGCUGAGCUCGGACAGGUAGCCGGGCAGGUCCGGCUGCUCCCUCCAGUUGUCCGGGAAACUGGCCCUAAACACGGACACCAGGAUGCUCUCGUCCUCCACGUCCACCGCCGCCAUGUUGGUGCUGCUUCUGGCCCGGUUUGAACCGAACCGACCGAACCACUUGUUUACUUUGGUGACAGAAUAAGAAGUGACGUUUCCUUCCUUGUGGUUUAAAGGAUGUGAUUUCUGAACUACCGCCGCCUAGUGGACAGGGGCGGAGCAGCAUGAUUAUCACACCUGUGCAGGUAAAUGUUUAACAGGUCAGUUACCACCUGGGUUUAGUCUGGUUUAAUGGAUGGAACUCAUUCAUAAGACUUUGGACUCAGUCAUGUUGAUUGAUGAAACCCAAUUAUUUACUCUUAAUGUGACUCUGGCCCAGUUUGACCUGACCACUGGUUUGAUAUUUAGGAUCCAAACCCAGAUGUCCUGGAACUGCAGGGAUGAAGAUGUGAUAAAAACUGCAAGAGGCCAAACAAACACGGAACCGUUUUAAUCGUAGAACUUUAUAUUUGUAGUUCUGAGAACAUGAAGACAACAGAACAGGAAGUAGAAACAAUAAAUAAAAGGACACUUUAGCCAUGGUGACAAAGUGCUGCAGAACAGUGAGAACAUUAAAGAGCUGCUUCUUU